GUUAGGAAUAUUGGACAAUGGGCGCAAGCCUGAUCCAGCCAUGCCGCGUGAGUGAUGAAGGCCUUCGGGUUGUAAAGCUCUUUAGUCCACGAAUAUAAUGACUGUAGUGGAAGAAUAAGCCCCGGCUAACUUCGUGCCAGCAGCCGCGGUAAUACGAAGGGGGCGAGCGUUAUUCGGAAUCACUGGGCGUAAAGCGUGCGUAGGCUGUUUUGUAAGUCAGAAGUGAAAGCCCAGGGCUUAACCCUGGAAUUGCUUUUGAAACUACAAGACUCGAAUUCGGGAGAGAAUAGAGGAAUUGUCAGUGUAGCAGUGAAAUGCGUAGAUAUUGACAGGAACACCAGUGGCGCAAGCGGCUAUCUGAACCGAUAUUGACGCUGAGGCACGAAAGCGUGGGGAGCAAACAGGAUUAGAAACCCCUGUAGUCC
rnacentral:rRNA from 1 species